UCCUGUUCUUAUUCCUGCAGCCCUGUGGGUUGGCGGUGGUGGGUCAUCGCAGAGCCGGCUGUGGACCCAAGGAUGUUUUUAAGAGGCAAGAUCUGAGAACAGCUGGGAAAUAGGGAUGGACAGGGGGCACUGCAGUAUGGUGUGAUUGACCUGAUAAUUCUUGGCAACUCUGCACAGAUUAAGGCUGAUCCCAGCACUACACAAAGCGCUGUUCGAUAUUUGGUGCUGCUGGGUGGCUCCUGGAGCCUCCACAGUGAUGUUUCCCUUACAGAAAGGGAAGAGGUUUCCUUGCUUUCACUGACCUUAAUCAGCACCAACCUUCUGCAGAACUUGUGUUCUCUCACCAUGGCUAGCAAGCUGGGCUCUGACAGCUCGUGCUGGCCCUGUCAUACCUGAUAGCUGCAGGUUGCACAAGCAUCACUGCUCUGUCUGUCUGCAGCUCUCCAGUACGUCGUCUUCCACUGAGCACCAAUGCAAUAUACAGCCCAAAGUCAGC
ensembl:lncRNA